rnacentral:rRNA from 1 species
UUGCCUAAUACAUGCAAGUCGAGCGAACAGAUAAGGAGCUUGCUCCUUUGACGUUAGCGGCGGACGGGUGAGUAACACGUGGAUAACCUACCUAUAAGACUGGGAUAACUUCGGGAAACCGGAGCUAAUACCGGAUAACAUAUUGAACCGCAUGGUUCAAUAGUGAAAGGCGGCUUUGCUGUCACUUAUAGAUGGAUCCGCGCCGUAUUAGCUAGUUGGUAAGGUAACGGCUUACCAAGGCAACGAUACGUAGCCGACCUGAGAGGGUGAUCGGCCACACUGGAACUGAGACACGGUCCAGACUCCUACGGGAGGCAGCAGUAGGGAAUCUUCCGCAAUGGGCGAAAGCCUGACGGAGCAACGCCGCGUGAGUGAUGAAGGUCUUCGGAUCGUAAAACUCUGUUAUCAGGGAAGAACAAAUGUGUAAGUAACUGUGCACAUCUUGACGGUACCUGAUCAGAAAGCCACGGCUAACUACGUGCCAGCAGCCGCGGUAAUACGUAGGUGGCAAGCGUUAUCCGGAAUUAUUGGGCGUAAAGCGCGCGUAGGCGGUUUUUUAAGUCUGAUGUGAAAGCCCACGGCUCAACCGUGGAGGGUCAUUGGAAACUGGAAAACUUGAGUGCAGAAGAGGAAAGUGGAAUUCCAUGUGUAGCGGUGAAAUGCGCAGAGAUAUGGAGGAACACCAGUGGCGAAGGCGACUUUCUGGUCUGUAACUGACGCUGAUGUGCGAAAGCGUGGGGAUCAAACAGGAUUAGAUACCCUGGUAGUCCACGCCGUAAACGAUGAGUGCUAAGUGUUAGGGGGUUUCCGCCCCUUAGUGCUGCAGCUCACGCAUUAAGCACUCCGCCUGGGGAGUACGACCGCAAGGUUGAUACUCAAAGGAAUUGACGGGGACCCGCACAAGCGGUGGAGCAUGUGGUUUAAUUCGAAGCAA